rnacentral:rRNA from 1 species
CCUACGGGUGGCUGCAGUGGGGAAUAUUGGACAAUGGGCGAAAGCCUGAUCCAGCCAUGCCGCGUGUGUGAAGAAGGCCUUCGGGUUGUAAAGCACUUUCAGUGGGGAAGAAAGCCUUGGGGCUAAUACCCUCGAGGAAGGACAUCACCCACAGAAGAAGCACCGGCUAACUCCGUGCCAGCAGCCGCGGUAAUACGGAGGGUGCGAGCGUUAAUCGGAAUUACUGGGCGUAAAGCGCGCGUAGGCGGUCUGAUAAGCCGGUUGUGAAAGCCCCGGGCUCAACCUGGGAACGACAUCCGGAACUGUCAGGCUAGAGUGCAGGAGAGGAAGGUAGAAUUCCCGGUGUAGCGGUGAAAUGCGUAGAGAUCGGGAGGAAUACCAGUGGCGAAGGCGGCCUUCUGGACUGACACUGACGCUGAGGUGCGAAAGCGUGGGUAGCAAACAGGAUUAGAUACCCUGGUAGUC